UGUAUAACUAUCAAAAUGUGUUUUUGUUUUGCAAAAUGCCUUCUGGUAUGUGACCUUCCAUGUGCCUUAAUAACAAACUUGUAUACCAUCCGUAAAUACGAGUAAAAAUUGUAAACUACGAGCCGAGUUAGUUUAGCCACGGAAAAAGGAAGGAAACUUCCCUUGUCUUGAUUGGCUGAGAUAAUGGAUGAGCUGGACGCGCCAUUAAACGAGUUCGGAUUGGUCUGCCAUGUAGCACGCUUUGGUCUAUAACAUGAGCUUCUCAGUAUGUGGUGGCAAUAUCCUUCUCCAGAACCUGGUGCUGGACAUUCCGGGCAUCUUCACGGAGCUUGACUUCAUCCAUCAGAAUGGUAGACUACAGAUUCAAUGAUAAGGAUCAUUAAAAGGAAAUAAACACUUUACAUUUGA